AUUGAACGCUGGCGGCAGGCCUAACACAUGCAAGUCGAACGAGUGGCGGACGGGUGAGUAAUGUCUGGGAAACUGCCCGAUGGAGGGGGAUAACUACUGGAAACGGUAGCUAAUACCGCAUACCAUCGGAUGUGCCCAGAUGGGAUUAGCUAGUAGGUGGGGUAAUGGCUCACCUAGGCGACGAUCCCUAGCUGGUCUGAGAGGAUGACCGGCCACACUGGAACUGAGACACGGUCCAGACUCCUACGGGAGGCAGCAGUAGGGAAUCUUGCGCAAUGGGCGCAAGCCUGAUGCAGCAACGCCGCGUUAGUGAAGAAGGCCUUCGGGUUGUAAAGUACUUUCAGCAGGGAGGCGUUACCCGCAGAAGAAGCACCGGCUAACUCCGUGCCAGCAGCCGCGGUAAUUC
rnacentral:rRNA from 1 species